rnacentral:rRNA from 1 species
GUUUCCGUAGGUGAACCUGCGGAAGGAUCAUUAACA